rnacentral:rRNA from 1 species
GUAGGUGGCAAGCGUUGUCCGGAAUUAUUGGGCGUAAAGCGCGCGCAGGCGGGUUCUUUAAGUCUGAUGUGAAAGCCCACGGGCUCAACCGUGGAGGGUCAUUGGAAACUGGAGAACUUGAGUACAGAAGAGGAAAGCGGAAUUCCACGUGUAGCGGUGAAAUGCGUAGAGAUGUGGAGGAACACCAGUGGCGAAGGCGGCUUUCUGGUCUGUAACUGACGCUGAGGCGCGAAAACGUGGGGAGCAAACAGGAUUAGAUACCCUGGUAGUCCACGCCGUAAACGAUGAGUGCUAAGUGUUAGGGGGUUUCCGCCCCUUAGUGCUGCAGCUAACGCAUUAAGCACUCCGCCUGGGGAGUACGGCCGCAAGGCUG